AACCUCCUACGGGGGGCAGCAGUCGGGAAUAUUGCGCAAUGGAGGAAACUCUGACGCAGUGACGCCGCGUGCAGGAAGAAGGUUUUCGGAUUGUAAACUGCUUUAGACAGGGAAGAAAUAAGACAGUACCUGUAGAAUAAGCUCCGGCUAACUACGUGCCAGCAGCCGCGGUAAUACGUAGGGAGCAAGCGUUAUCCGGAUUUAUUGGGUGUAAAGGGUGCGUAGACGGGAAAACAAGUUGGUUGUGAAAUCCCUCGGCUUAACUGAGGAACUGCAACCAAAACUAUUUUUCUUGAGUGCUGGAG
rnacentral:rRNA from 1 species